AGCCCCGAGGUGUUAUCAUGUCGGAUUGCAAAUCCGAAGAAGUAGGAUAGACGCCUACCGGGGCUU
rnacentral:tRNA from 1 species